rnacentral:rRNA from 1 species
GCAGUCGAACGAUGAUCCGGUGCUUGCACCGGGGAUUAGUGGCGAACGGGUGAGUAACACGUGAGUAACCUGCCCUUAACUCUGGGAUAAGCCUGGGAAACUGGGUCUAAUACCGGAUAUGACUGAUCAUCGCAUGGUGGUUGGUGGAAAGCUUUUUUGUGGUUUUGGAUGGACUCGCGGCCUAUCAGCUUGUUGGUGAGGUAAUGGCUUACCAAGGCGACGACGGGUAGCCGGCCUGAGAGGGUGACCGGCCACACUGGGACUGAGACACGGCCCAGACUCCUACGGGAGGCAGCAGUGGGGAAUAUUGCACAAUGGGCGCAAGCCUGAUGCAGCGACGCCGCGUGAGGGAUGACGGCCUUCGGGUUGUAAACCUCUUUCAGUAGGGAAGAAGCGAAAGUGACGGUACCUGCAGAAGAAGCGCCGGCUAACUACGUGCCAGCAGCCGCGGUAAUACGUAGGGCGCAAGCGUUAUCCGGAAUUAUUGGGCGUAAAGAGCUCGUAGGCGGUUUGUCGCGUCUGCCGUGAAAGUCCGGGGCUCAACUCCGGAUCUGCGGUGGGUACGGGCAGACUAGAGUGAUGUAGGGGAGACUGGAAUUCCUGGUGUAGCGGUGAAAUGCGCAGAUAUCAGGAGGAACACCGAUGGCGAAGGCAGGUCUCUGGGCAUUAACUGACGCUGAGGAGCGAAAGCAUGGGGAGCGAACAGGAUUAGAUACCCUGGUAGUCCAUGCCGUAAACGUUGGGCACUAGGUGUGGGGGACAUUCCACGUUUUCCGCGCCGUAGCUAACGCAUUAAGUGCCCCGCCUGGGGAGUACGGCCGCAAGGCUAAAACUCAAAGGAAUUGACGGGGGCCCGCACAAGCGGCGGAGCAUGCGGAUUAAUUCGAUGCAACGCGAAGAACCUUACCAAGGCUUGACAUGAACCGGAAAGACCUGGAAACAGGUGCCCCGCUUGCGGUCGGUUUACAGGUGGGGGCAUGGGUUGUCGUCAGCUCGUGUCGUGAGAUGUUUGGGUUAAGUCCCGCAACGAGCGCAACCCUCGUUCUAUGUUGCCAGCACGUGGAUGGUGGGGGACU